rnacentral:rRNA from 1 species
GACGAGCCUCACAAACGUUAUUCGGAAUUACUGGGCUUAAAGGGUGCGUAGGCGGCGCGGAAAGUUGGGUGUGAAAUCCCUCGGCUCAACCGAGGAAUUGCGCUCAAAACUACCGUGCUCGAGGGAGAUAGAGGAGUGCGGAACUUAGGGUGGAGCGGUGAAAUGCGUUGAUAUCCUAGGGAACACCGGUGGCGAAAGCGGCACUCUGGAUCUCUUCUGACGCUGAUGCACGAAAGCUAGGGUAGCAAAC